rnacentral:lncRNA from 1 species
CCCCUACAAGAAUGUAUAUGGUUUAAGGGUGGGGAUCUGGACCGUUUACAAGAUAAUAGCACAUUCUCAAAUUGAACAGUGUGGGGCAACCCCCAGGAACUUCCAUUUAAUUUCAUUUGAUUAGCUUUAUUGUCCCAUACAAGAAUAUAUAUGGUUUAGGGGUGGGGAUGUUGACCGUUUACAAGUUUUCAAACAAGAGGGGGUGGGGUGACCCCCUAGGGACUUCCCUCUUAUUUCAUUUCAUUUGUUUUAUUGUCCCCUAAAAGAAUAUAUAUGGUUUAGGGGUGGGGAUGUUGACCGUUUACAAGUUUUCAAACAAGAGGGGGUGGGGUGACCCCCUACGGGAUUCCCUUUUAUUUCAUUUCAUUUGUUUUAUUGUACCCUACAAGAAUAUAUAUGGUUUAGGGGUGGGGAUGUUGACCGUUUACAAGUUUUCAAAUAAGAGGGGGUGUGGUGACCACCUAGGAACUUCCCUUUAAUUUCAUU